AACUUUGGUUUUGGUUCUUUUUUUUUCUUCUAAUUUUUUCUUUGUUUUUAUUCUGAUUUCGAUUGUGAAGUCGAAUUUCUACUUUGAAAUUUCAGUUCUUAGGUUUAUGAUUUAGAAUUUGAGGUAGGGAUUUAGGGUUUAGGGUUUGAGGGAUGCGAUUUGGGUUUGAAAUUUCUGAAAAAAAUGCAACUCUUUCUGUAUUUCAAUUUUUACCGUUUCGAUUCGGGCUUAGUAAAAGAGCCGCAUAAGUUAAGUGUGUGUAGUGAAUCUAGUGACUGUGUCAAAUGAAUAAAGACUCAGAAACAGCAAGCAGGUUCUUGGGUUGUCUGUGUGAGUUUGUGGCCUGUUGUUUUCUUAAUCUCGAUCGAUCGAUUGCAGGUUUGCUGGUUAAUUGCAAAUUAAUUAUACAUGCUUGCUUCCUCUGUAUCUUUUGAUGGGUUAUCAUCUUUAUUCAAAUCAACUAAUGCUGAUAACGUUGACGAGGGCGAAAUUCUUCUUGUGGAAGGCUUGUGAAAGUUCACAAAGUUACCAAGAUGGUGCCUCGGAAGAGAGCGAAGGGGGAGAGUAAGAGCAUAACAAAUAUGGACAUAAUAAGCUCCAUCACGCUGUUGAUAUUAUAUGUGUGCAUGAAGCAGGGGGAAAUGUAUAUUCUUUAUUUGUUCACAAGAAGCUGAACACUUGUUUGAUUGUGUGCUUAUAAAAGACGUGCUUCCCAUCUCUUCCCAUGGAGCUCUAACCUUUGAUGAGGCCCAGGUUUAUGAGAAAUUUUUGUCGGCCGAGUUACUUGUGCUCUAUAACCAACAGUAGCAGCUACAUAAGGGUCUUCAUGGUUCUGUUUCGUACUUUGACGGUAAAAGGGGCUGAGAAUAUGAAAAUGUUUUUGUUGCAGAGGCAGCGUGCGACUUUGAAGAUGAUGUUUUUCAAUACAACGCAUCCCUUGUUUCUCUUUAAGAUGGUCCUCUCCUCACCACCUUUUGUUUCCCUCACCUUUAUAUUCUUUUAUUUAUUUAUUUAUUUUCUUAACCAAUCUUCUGACUUUUUGUUUUUAUUCAUUUCUAACUUUUUUUUUCUUUUUAAGACCACAUCAUUUUUGUUCUUCCAUCCAGCUUGGUAACAAAUUAUUGUAACUAAUUUAU